rnacentral:lncRNA from 1 species
AAACACUGCAUAUACAAUAAUUAUUGUCCUUAAUUACAAAUAAAUAACCCACUAUGUGUUGUGUUUUGGUCAAGAUUAACUUCCGUUUUGAAUUUAGUUAUAACUGUGAAUAUGAUUAAUUUCGCCGGUGUCAAAGGCCUUGAGAAUUUUUCUGAUGGUACAUGGUUUGUGGUAUGGUGUUACCCUGACCUUAAUUGGUUCUUCUCCUCCCGCAAAAAUCCUUUCUAGGAUGAGGCAUGGCGGUGGUUCAGAUUUCUUGUCCUCCAUCUUUAUGAUGGUGGUUGAAGGGAAUUUAUGUGGUUUCGUCGGGUUGACAGGGAUUUGUUCUUAGAGGAAGUAUAUUUAAAAAAUAUGAGAGAUCUUGAAAGAAAAAAAGAUAUAUGAAGUUUUCAAUCCUUAUAAUUGUGGUGAUGGUAUUUUGUAGGGUUUUUUCAGUGAAAUUGGGAUUUGUUCUUGGAAGAGAGAUAGUUGAAAGGUUUCAUAGAUGAAAGAGAAAGAGUGCUAUAAUAAUUUCACAUUUCAAAAUCUUGAAGAAGAUUAGGAGAAAAACUAUUUAUUUUCUGAC